AUUCGUUGCCUCCUCCACACCGGAGGCCCCGUCCGUGGACCACCAGCGACGUCGCCGAACCCCUCUCCUGCACAAGCCGCCUUGACAGCACACCACUCGACGCCCUGUUCGAUUUGUGGUUUACUUCCAGGUGUGUUACUGAAUGUAGUGGUCAUACUAAUUCUAAUUUCCUAGCAGAUAUGAGCACCCAAUUGGAUGAGCCCUUAUUCAGCAAGUGACCCCGGGUAUCAUUCAUGUAUGGAGAUUGCUCGUGCAACAUGAUGCUCUGACUCUGCUUUGAAUUGUCUGCAAUCAGUUUUUUUAUAGAUGAAACAGCUUGAUAUUUGAACAAUUUAUCAAUGUCGAUGACACAGCCAGUACACGUGAAAACCCCCAAAAGCCAUUGGUGUAUGCAGAUGAUAUGACCGUCAUCUCUUUUAGUUUUAGUUGCAUUUACUGAUGUGUUCUGUCACUUAAUUCUGCAAAUCAAUGAUCAACCUAACCCAGGUAUCCAUUCUAAUUACUCACUUCAGUACCAUCCUACCAGGCCCUUGUAUACAUUAUGUUCUCACUAGAUAUGAUGCUGAAGAAAAAACUAAGUGCACGAAAGAAAGAAGUGGUAGCUGAUGGAUGCAACAACUGAUCGGGUUAAAAAAAGAUGAAGCAAGGAAUGUUGGUUCCAGGGCUCUAAAUCUGAAGCAAGGAAUGUUGGUUCCCGGGCUUUAUAUCUGAAGCAAGGAAUGUUAGUUCCUGGGCUCUAAAUCUGAAGCUUCCUUUUGGUGAGAUAGAUGUGGAGGAGAAUCUGGAGCUGCUCAGGAGGCUGUUGGGUCUUGAGCAUGUCGAGGUCCUGAUGAUAAGUCAUUGUUGACGUGCAAUGUGAACCUUACAUUUUAAUCUGGCCUGUAUGACGUUCCUGAACAAAUGCACUGGCCAAACCAGCCAAAUGAGGCUCUAAAUACUUACAUUUUAAUCUACCCAGAAAUCUGAAGGUGAUGUCGUGUACAUAAAUAAGGCAGGAUAAUGGUGCAAGAGUGACAUUUGCAUAUGUGCAGUUUAUUUGAUAGUUUACAACUAAUCGAUGGUAGAUAAUCUAGUAUAUAUUUUGUCAUAUGAAACUGCAAGUUUGAAACUUUCUCAUGAUCUGUAGGAGGAGAAGGUGUCGCUGCCGGUGGCGCGCCAUCGGGACUGACGGAAGGCGAUGGCAGGGACACCGCAACCCCAUCAGCGCGAGCAUUAGAUAUUGUUCUCAAUUAGAAAAAUCUUGAUGAUGUAAAUUGUCAUAUCAGUGUGAGCAUGAGCGUUGUUAUGAACUUUUGAUGAGUAUGUUCUGGUCCAGUCAUUAGGGCAGAUUGAUGGUGGUGUAUUUUUAUUUGAGUUGUACUCAGACUGUUCAAGAUUUUCGUGCAAGUCUGCUAGUACUUAGUCAAGCAAUCUAGUUGUGCAAGUCUAGCCAUUUGCUAGCAGUUAACUUGGCAAGCUAGAGUCCGCUGAUCCUGAUCACGUAUGAAACUUCAGUUUGCUUAAAA